rnacentral:rRNA from 1 species
UACGGAGGGGGCUAGCGUUGUUCGGAAUUACUGGGCGUAAAGCGCACGUAGGCGGCUUUGUAAGUUAGAGGUGAAAGCCCGGGGCUCAACUCCGGAAUUGCCUUUAAGACUGCAUCGCUAGAAUUGUGGAGAGGUAAGUGGAAUUCCGAGUGUAGAGGUGAAAUUCGUAGAUAUUCGGAAGAACACCAGUGGCGAAGGCGACUUACUGGACACAUAUUGACGCUGAGGUGCGAAAGCAUGGGGAGCAAAGCAGG